AAGGAGGAGCAGAGUGCAGACAGGCCAACAGUCAGGUUGUCACCGUGUGAAGCUGUCCACGUCUCGUGCUGUACUACUGCUGUGCUGCAGCUGCCGCCACUGGCGUCCAUGCGAGAUUUCACGUGACCUCCUCUGUCCUGCCCUCUCUCCUUCCUGUCCCUGACUGCGCCGCGCAGCGAGUCCGCAAGACGUGCAGGACCGUGUGGAGACAGAACUCAGUCCUCACAAGAGAUGGCGAGGUUGUCUCCAGACUGCGACCGCCUUGAGGCUGGCGAUGGCUUUACUGUUGUUGCUAGCACCUGUUACCGGAGGCCAAAUCCUGGACGACCUAGUUGACGAUGGCGGCGACGAUUUCAUCAACUAUCGCGCCAAGCGUCUGUUCACCGACACCAGCAGCGACUGCUUGCGAUGCAUGAGUGCCUAUGACACAGUCAGCUGUCAGCGCUGCUGGAGCUCCAAGACCAACAUCAUCCCCUUCCACGGCAAGCGCUCCACACCCGUCCUCGUCCUCGCUACCCGGGAUGGCCAGCCUCUCGUGCGUCUGCAGCGCAGUAGUGGGUGCGGGUGCUGCUACAUGAGUCGCCUCUCCAACUAUCAAUGCUGUCACCUGUGCAGCCUGACAGCCAAACGCAGUAGUAAACGUAGCGCCGCCCUCGUGGCCGCUGGCUCCAUGAACCCCGUGUAAUGUCACGUGGAACUCAUCUGGAACUCCUAGAGGAGAGCUGUUAUAAUUUUCUCUGUCUAGCUAUACAAUUCAUUUUAUAAUUAUACAAUGCAUUGGAUAGUUGAGCAAUUCAUUUAUAUAACUAAAGAAUGGAUUAUAUAGCUAUACUAUUCAUUCUAUAACAUCAGAUUGCAUUCUUCAGUUAAAGAAUUCGUUCUGUAGAUAACAAAUAGGUAGAACUAAAGUAUUUUAUUUAUAUUAUGCUGGAAAGUUGCUAUCCAAUUGAUUUCAUAUAUACAAUUGAAUUAUAUAGCUAUAAAAUCCAUUCUCGGCUUUACAAUUUAAUUAUAUGAUUAUAGAAAGCAUUCUGUAAUAAUUAUUACAGAAUUAAAUUGUAUUCGGAACGAGGCUCAUAGAGUUCGGUAUGUGAAAGGUCGCUAAUCAGAAACCUCCAUACAUACAUCAACAAGGUAGGUGAGGGGAUACUUUCAUGAAGUGUCUACUCGUGCCAGGUGGUCUUUUAUUUUGUCUCUAAAUGCUGAUCGGAUCAUCCACGGGAUGUGAAGACACUUGCACAAAAUUUCCGCGCUUUUAUUAAGCCGAUAACAUAUUUUGAAUAAAUAAGAUGCCAGGGUAAUGUUAAGGGUUUUUUUUUUUUCACAGUAAUGACACAUUGUUUCUGCGGUGAUCUUGCAUGGCCAUGGAAGCAUUUACCUAAUUAAAUGUGAAGGAACGAUCUGCUAGAAUAUAUUGGUCAAGCACCCGCUUUAUGUCACGACAGUAACAGUUGAGAGUACAGGUUUCUAUCUAGUCUCAGGGCACGGAUAUUUCUUUCUCAUUCACCUCGCUAUUUUCUAAUCUACAGUCUAGUAUUUAGUAUUGAUGUUAACUGUACAAGACAAAUGAAUUAUUUUUUCUUUUACUGCCAUACUGUCCAGUGAGUUUGAAAUGACUUACUUGAACUAUUCCACAUAAACUCUUGAUGCCACAUUUAUCCACAGAGUUAUUAACAUAUGUUCUUAGUCCUGUCAUCGGCUGUAUCCUUUACAGCAUAAACGUAUCAAUGUACAAUCUUGAUGUCUGUGUUGUUGACCUCUUUCUGUGCAUGGUGAUGAUUGCAGUGCAUUUCUAGAAGGGAUGGGACGAGUGUUCACUGAGAUUUUGGGAAACAGAUGUAAAUCAAGCUUUAACCAGUCAUUAAAAAGAAAUUGACC